GCGGGGAUAGCUCAGUUGGGAGAGCGUCAGACUGAAGUCAUACUUCAUUCUCAAGUUUAUCUGAAGGUCGUGCGUUCGAUCCGCACUCACCGCA